AUUCCAUGGUGUGGACAUUUUCUUAACAUUGCUCUCAAUCUUUCCCAUGCUUGAUAUACAGAUUCAUUAUCUGUUUGUAUAAAAUUAUUAAUUUCUUGCUUCAUUUU
rfam:Capsicum annuum cultivar Zunla-1 chromosome 11, whole genome shotgun sequence